rnacentral:rRNA from 1 species
ACGAAGGGGGCUAGCGUUGUUCGGAAUUACUGGGCGUAAAGCGCACGUAGGCGGGUUUGUAAGUAGGGGGUGAAAUCCCAGGGCUCAACCCUGGAACUGCCUUCUAGACUGCAAGCCUGGAGGUCAGGAGAGGCGAGUGGAAUACCGAGUGUAGAGGUGAAAUUCGUAGAUAUUAGGAAGAACACCAGUGGCGAAGGCGGCUCACUGGUCCGGUACUGACGCUGAGGUGCGAAAGCGUGGGGAGCAAACAGGA